GAUGAAGAACGUAGCUAAAUGCGAUAAGUAAUGUGAAUUGCAGAAUUCAGUGAAUCAUCGAAUCUUUGAACGCACAUUGCGCCCGCUAGUAUUCUGGCGGGCAUGCCUGUUCGAGCGUCAUUUCAACCAUCAAGCCCUGCUUGUGUUGGGGUCCUGCGGCUGCCCGCAGGCCCUGAAAACCAGUGGCGGGCUCGCUAGUCACACCGAGCGCAGUAGCACAUCUCGCUCAGGGCGUGCGGCGGGUUCUUGCCGUAAAACACCCCCUUUUUACCAAGGUUGACCUCGGAUCAGGUAGGAAUACCCGCUGAACUUAAGCAUAUCAAUAAGCGGAGGA
rnacentral:misc_RNA from 1 species